GAUGAAGAACGUAGUGAAAUGCGAUAAGUAGUGUGAAUUGCAGAAUUCCGUGAAUCAUCGAAUCUUUGAACGCACAUUGCGCCUUCUGGUAUUCCGGAAGGCAUGCCUGUUCGAGAGUCAUUAACAACCGUUUCGAUCCCUUUCUGUCAGAAAUUACAAAGAGGAAAAGGGUUUGGUUAUGGUGGAGGAGGGAAAGGGAGCGUUUAGCCUGUAAAAAAAGAGGCUGUGUUCCGCCUCCCCCCCAAAAUUGUACAGGCGGUCGUGUGCGCCCACGCAUCGAGGUGUUGUAAAAGCUGCCACGGCACUUUUCACCUGUGCAGUGCGAGAUUGGCCAGCCGGUUUAAAAACCCCUCCAAACAAUCAAAGGUUGACCUCGGAUCAGGUAGGGAUACCCGCUGAACUUAAGCAUAUCAAUAAGCGGAGGA
rnacentral:misc_RNA from 1 species